rnacentral:rRNA from 1 species
UGAGGAAUAUUGGUCAAUGGGGGCAACCCUGAACCAGCCAAGUCGCGUGAAGGAUGAAGGUCUUAUGGAUUGUAAACUUCUUUUACACGGGAAUAAAGUGGGGGACGUGUCCCCCUUUGCAUGUACCGUGUGAAUAAGGAUCGGCUAACUCCGUGCCAGCAGCCGCGGUAAUACGGAGGAUCCGAGCGUUAUCCGGAUUUAUUGGGUUUAAAGGGUGCGCAGGCGGGAUGUUAAGUCGGCGGUGAAAUUUUGCAGCUCAACUGUAAAAGUGCCUUCGAUACUGGCCUCCUUGAGUGUGGAUGAAGUAGGCGGAAUUUGUGGUGUAGCGGUGAAAUGCUUAGAGAUCACGAGGAACUCCGAUUGCGCAGGCAGCUUACUAAGCCACAACUGACGCUCAUGCGCGAAGGCGUGGGGAUCAAACA